UCUCAUAAUGGUGCCCCGCUUUGGUGCAAU
rnacentral:piRNA from 1 species